GCUCUUUUGGGUCUUGUAAUUGGAAUGAGUACAAUUUAAAUCCCUUAACGAGGAACAAUUGGAGGGCAAGUCUGGUGCCAUCAGCCGCGGUAAUUCCAGCUCCAAUAGCGUAUAUUAAAGUUGUUGUGGUUAAAAAGCUCGUAGUUGAACCUUGGGCCUGGCUGGCCGGUCCGCCUCACCGCGUGUACUGGUCCGGCCGGGCCUUUCCCUCUGUGGAACCCCAUGCCCUUCACUGGGUGUGGCGGGGAAACAGGACUUUUACUUUGAAAAAAUUAGAGUGCUCCAGGCAGGCCUAUGCUCGAAUACAUUAGCAUGGAAUAAUAGAAUAGGACGUGUGGUUCUAUUUUGUUGGUUUCUAGGACCGCCGUAAUGAUUAAUAGGGACAGUCGGGGGCAUCAGUAUUCAAUUGUCAGAGGUGAAAUUCUUGGAUUUAUUGAAGACUAACUACUGCGAAAGCAUUUGCCAAGGAUGUUUUCAUUAAUCAGGAACGAAAGUUAGGGGAUCGAAGACGAUCAGAUACCGUCGUAGUCUUAACCAUAAACUAUGCCGACUAGGGAUCGGACGAUGUUAUUUUUUGACUCGUUCGGCACCUUACGAGAAAUCAAAGUGCUUGGGCUCCAGGGGGAGUAUGGUCGCAAGGCUGAGACUUAAAGAAAUUGACGGAAGGGCACCACCAGGGGUGGAGCCUGCGGCUUAAUUUGACACAACACGGGGAAACUCACCAGGUCCAGACACAAUGAGGAUUGACAGAUUGAGAGCUCUUUCUUGAUUUUGUGGGUGGUGGUGCAUGGCCGUUCUUAGUUGGUGGAGUGAUUUGUCUGCUUAAUUGCGAUAACGAACGAGACCUUAACCUGCUAAAUAGCCCGUAUUGCUUUGGCAGUACGCUGGCUUCUUAGAGGGACUAUCGGCUCAAGCCGAUGGAAGUUUGAGGCAAUAACAGGUCUGUGAUGCCCUUAGAUGUUCUGGGCCGCACGCGCGCUACACUGACGGAGCCAGCGAGUUCUCCCUUGGCCGGAAGGUCCGGGUAAUCUUGUUAAACUCCGUCGUGCUGGGGAUAGAGCAUUGCAAUUAUUGCUCUUCAACGAGGAAUCCCUAGUAAGCGCAAGUCAUCAGCUUGCGUUGAUUACGUCCCUGCCCUUUGUACACACCGCCCGUCGCUACUACCGAUUGAAUGGCUCAGUGAGGCGUCCGGACUGGCCCAGAGAGGUGGGCAACUACCCCUCAGGGCCGGAAAGCUCUCCAAACUCGGUCAUUUAGAGGAAGUAAAAGUCGUAACAAGGUCUCCGUUGGUGAACCAGCGGAGG
rnacentral:rRNA from 1 species